rnacentral:rRNA from 1 species
AUAAUUUAUAGUAUAUUAUAUUAAAAUUGGGGGGUUUUAGUAUUGAUAUAGAAAAAAUUAAAAAAUUUAUAGUUAAAUAGUAUUGUAAAAGAAAUUUAAAAUAUUUUGAAAAUGAAUUUAUUUAAAAGUAAAUAUAAUUUAUUGUAUCUUGUGUAUCAGAGUUUAUUAAUUAAAAAUUUAGAUAAAAAUAUUUCUCGAAAUUAAAAGAGAUAAUUAAUUAUAAAAGUUAUUGUAGCAUAAAUAUUUUUAAUAAUUAAUUUGAAAUGAAAUGUUAAUCGUUUUUAAAGAUAUCUAGUUUUUUUAGAAAAAAAUUUAAUUUUAAAUUUAUUUUAUGAAUUUUUUAAUUAAUUAAUUAAUUCAAAUUUUAAUUUUAUAUUUUAAGGGAUAAGCUUUAAAUUAAAUUUUUAUAAUUAUAUUUAAUUUUUAUAUUUAAAAUUUUUAAAAUUUAUAUUGUUUAUAAAUUUUAUUUUAUUAUAAAAAAUUUUAAUUUAAAUAAAAUUUUUUAAUAAUUUAAUUUUUUAUAAAAAAAUAAUUUUUAUUUAUGAAAAAUUAAUUAUAAUGAUAAAAUUAGUAUUAAAUGAAAUAAGAUUAUUAAUGUUUAAUAAAUUAAAUAAAAGGAAUUCGGCAAAUAUAUAUAUAUAUUCACUUGUUUAUCAAAAACAUGUCUUUUUGGGUAUAAUUUAAAGUCUAAUCUGCCCACUGAUAAAUAUUAAAGGGCUGCAGUAUAUUGACUGUACAAAGGUAGCAUAAUAAAUAGUCUCUUAAUUAGUGACUUGUAUGAAAGAUUGGAUGAAAUAUAAACUGUCUCUAAUUUAUAAAAAGAAUUUAAUUUUUUGAUUAAAAAGUCAAGAUGUAUUUAAAAGACGAGAAGACCCUAUAGAGUUUUAUAUUAGUUUUUAUUGAGAUUAUUUAUUUAUUUAAUAAUUAAAAUUAAUUUUAAUAUUUUAUUGGGGUGAUAGAAAAAUAAAAUUAACUUUUUUUUUAUUUAAAUCAUUAAUAAAUGAAUAUAUGAUCCAAAAUUUUUGAUUAAAAAUUUUAAUAUUUUAUUGGGGUGAUAGAAAAAUAAAAUUAACUUUUUUUUUAUUUAAAUCAUUAAUAAAUGAAUAUAUGAUCCAAAAUUUUUGAUUAAAAGAAAAAAUUACCUUAGGGAUAACAGCGUAAUUUUUUUUUUUAGUUCAAAUAAGAAAAAGAGUUUGCGACCUCGAUGUUGGAUUAAGAUAAAAUUUAUAUGCAAAAGUAUAAAAUUUUGAUCUGUUCGAUCAUUAAAAUCUUACAUGAUCUGAGUUCAAACCGGUGUGAGCCAGGUUGGUUUCUAUCUUUAAAAAUAUAAUAUAUUUUAGUACGAAAGGAAUUAAUAUUUAAAUUAAAUUUAUUUUUAAGAAUU